rnacentral:rRNA from 1 species
CAGCAGCCGCGGGAAUACGUAGGUGGCAAGCGUUGUCCGGAUUUAUUGGGCGUAAAGCGAGCGCAGGCGGUUUCUUAAGUCUGAUGUGAAAGCCCCCGGCUCAACCGGGGAGGGUCAUUGGAAACUGGGAGACUUGAGUGCAGAAGAGGAGAGUGGAAUUCCAUGUGUAGCGGUGAAAUGCGUAGAUAUAUGGAGGAACACCAGUGGCGAAGGCGGCUCUCUGGUCUGUAACUGACGCUGAGGCUCGAAAGCGUGGGGAGCGAACAGGAUUAGAUACCCCUGUAGUCCCUGUCUCUUAUAC